AGACCCAGCACGUGGCAGAGGAGGCAUCAUGAUCAGGAGGACUGUUGUUCCGGGAUGUGGCCCAUCUCUCACGCUCUGGCUGUGCUGACAUCGCCGUUUUCCAAAACAUGAGAAAUCUGGCCGCAUAACAUGUGGUAGUGGGGGACUAUAUUUGUAUUCCUCCGUG
rnacentral:snRNA from 7 species